rnacentral:lncRNA from 1 species
CUUCAUUAUUCUCUUAUAAGAAUUUUCACCAAUUUUUUAUGAUCAUUUUUUGGCCAGAUUUAUGCUUCACACGGUUUCAAGCAAGCGAUAGAUUGGGAGCGCUUUUUGGUGUAUAUAUUUUAGAAGACAAGGCACGCGCGCAAUGAGUUGUGGUAUGUCGUGUAUCAAAUGUCAGGUGUGAUUUGCAAAUUUUUUACUUUUUCGUUUGAGUAUAUUUCGCUGAAGAAAACUACGAGGAAAAGCGUGGUUUUCCUCAUAUUUUUUAUUGGAUAAGUGACUCCGAAUCCUGCCAGGGGCUUAUUUGAUCUCAGGUAUGAAAUAUUACUGUUUAUAUCAUAGAACUAUAACGUUCAUCGACCCUAUUAUCUCAUUUAUCUUGUUGCUGUUGUGGCUGCUAAAAUUUGAAUUUGCCCGCGCGAGAAUUCGUAUGUUUCAUAUUGAAAUUAUUUCAUUUCAAUGCCAUCAAAUACUAGUUAAAACCAACAAUUCAAAUUUUGAAUAAACACACAGUAAAUACUGGGUUGCACUUGUUUGGCAAAAGCACAUUUAAAGUCACAUAGACAUAGUAUAAAACAAUAUGUGAACAUCCCUAUUAAUAAAAGCCAAAACAUAAAAAUUAUUUGAGAGUAUUCAACAUGAGGAAGUCACAAUGUUAUCUAUAUGUGAAUCAACAAAUUGUUAACCCAAUACAAUAUAUAGAAUUGAUUAAGAUUAUCAGUUCAGUGCUAUUUCUUGGUUUUAAUAGCAGCAUGUACCAGCAUUAAAUUAUAUUGACAUGGAUUGAAUUUUGUAUUUAAUUGUGCAUUCUGUUUUUUUAAUCCCCCUUCCCUGGAUUUCCAAGGUCUUUCAAGCCAUUAAGUGGCAGCUCUCUCCCCUCGACAAGUAAAAUAAAGCCUUCUAUAGAGUUUAUAUACUGUGUGUGCCUGUUUAUGUGACAAAUUAUGGCAUGGCUGAACAGGAGGUUUUAAUCCAGCCUUGCUGAGAAACUUGGCUAGGCAAAACAGGAUGAUGUGUUUUAUAUAUAGAUGGAAUACACCCCGCCUGGCAGGGAUGAUAGAGUGCUUGUAUUAGAAUUUCUCGUCUUGGCAGACUGGGAUCUCGGCAACAAAUGGGUUAUUCCAGAAAACAUCCAUACCACCCCCACGGAGGAAAUAGGAAGUUAACCCCCCUACCCCCUUUGGAUGUCCUAAUACAUUUACUAUUAUCAGAAACAAUUUUUUCUCCCCUCCCCCUCCGGAUGGCAGAAAUUUCCUCUGUGGGGGGAGUAUGGAUCUUUUCUGGAAUGACCCAAUAAUGGGAUCCAGCCUGGGCCAGAUAAAGGUAGAAUCAUUCAUUUUACUGUAAACACUCUAUAUAGUUAGUUUAUAUUGCAAGCGGGAUCAUGCCAAAUGUCUAGCCGGGAUCAUAUUUAAAAGCAAUUUAUAAUUAAAUGGAUCUAAAUGAUUGGAUAGAUACUGCAGACUCUAUAAAAGCAAUCUUACAACUGCAUAAAACUAGUAUUUUUUUACAAGUGCUGACAUCUUGUAUUCUCAUUGCCAGCAUACCUAUUACAGCCAACUUACAGACAAGGGAAAGCGGCUUAAAAUUACUACAUGGUGAGUGUGAUAAUAGAGAAUGGAUUUUCAAUUUUCAUUUAUAUGUACAUACUAGGUAGAUUUUAUCCCAGAACCUUGACUUAGAUGAUUACCAUUAGAAUGAGUAGAAGUCGGUGGGAAGCACCAGACGACAGUGGCAAGAACUCGCCCCAAGGUAAAUCCUUCCAUUCUGCACUCAAAAGUAUCAAUUAUGAAUAGUGGAUUUUGUUCAUUCAACAUUGUCUACCAGAAAUGUGAUAAAAAGGCAAUGUGCAUGCAUCCAAAGCUAGAUUGAAUUAUGAUCUAUCUUAUAAAUGACCAUUAACACAUUAGGCACCAGCACUCUCCACUUGAGUCUUUACGAGUAAAAUUGUCUCGCGUUAGACAGAGUACAAUAAUCUGGCAUUAACCCACUGAGUCGCAUUGCGCCCUGAUGCGCCCCACUUUAUUAUUUUACUCUGUCUAACGCCAAACAAUUUUACUCGUCAAGGGGAGAGUGCUAGCACUUAAUGGGUUAAAGACAUUAAUAAAAUAAGGAAGUAUUGCACAUAAGGCACAAAGCAAUUUAAUGUGUCACUAGACUGACACAUGGCCAGAUUAACCCAUUAACCACCAGGGGCCUGGGUAGUGCUAUCCACCGGAUAAUGAUUUUCUCAAGUUUUGUUAAAUCAGUCGUUGAUUGGUGUAACUGGUAUUAAAGUUUAGUAUUUAUACAAGCAAAAUGUUUUUUUAUACUUCUUAUGUCCUUUAUAUCUGUAGGUUCACAGUUUUUCAAGCAUUUUUUCAAAUGUUGAAAAAUCAGUAUCCGGUGGAUAGCGCUAUCCGGCCUUCGUACAACCGGCCCCAGCACUCUCCCACUCACAAAUAAAAUUGUCUGGCAUUAGACAGGAGUACAAUUUAUUGUAUUUAGGGUGCAAUUACUGCAAUGCAACUUAAUGGGUUAGAAUUUGAAAUUUUGCCUGUGGGACCAUGAUUUCUGGGUUAGCAUGUACUAGCCAGGAAUCACUUGGUCUAUGGGUGGAACCAUAGUGAAUCAAAUUUUUCCUACGAAAACAAAUAACUAAUUUAUGUGUAAUCAUUCAUUAUGUAGGAUCAGAUGGAGUUUACAAGGUGAUAAGGAAUUUUUCAGCAGCAAAAUCCUUUAGAUGCUUUCUAAAAUGUAAGGGUAAUGCUUGUUGGUAUUUCUGAUUUAAUUAAUAUGCUAUUGGCUCAUUCCAGAAAACGUUCAUACAUUCAUGUAUGGUUAUGAUUUUACCUCAGUUGUAUGUGAGAGGAGUGCUGCACUGACAAAUGACAGCACUGACAAGUAAAAUCAUCUGACAUUAGAUGGAGUAAAACAAUAAAGUUGUGGCAAAAUGCAGCUUAGGGACCGGUCAUUAACAAUGGGAGGGUGGGGGGGUUAGAAAAGGGGGGCGUCUUCAACUAUUUUUGCCUGAAUUGGGGGCGGCCUCAAACUGAAAAAUAUGUGACAGUACAUUUUUUAAUACUUUCUUAUUCAUUGUCAAAAUAUAAUAAAACCUUUCGCAUAUGCAGUUCACCAUAGGAAUACAGUAGGAAUAAAUAACAACUAUUUUGAAUAUUGGUCCCCAGUACUUGUCCCAUUACUUAUUUACAACAAAAAAUGUAACAAACUAAAUGUUGGAGAGGGGUGGGUCCUAAGUUUUCUAGAUGAAGGUGGGGAGUCUUGAAAAUAAAGGUCUUGCGAUUGGGGUGGCUCUAAAAAAUGUUCAAUAUUUGGUAUUUAUCACCCACAGACCCCCUCCCAUUAUUACCUUACUACCAUUAUUUGUAGCCGGUGUCCGGCCUAGUGUAAUAUCCAGUUAACACCCCACAAAUUGUUGCGCCCUCCUUAAGUUACUGUAACAAGUUUACAAGGGUCAUAGGUGGAUUGUUUGGUUAGCCCACUAAUUAAUGCCCCUGGCUUUAUUCUAAAAAAAUCUGUUCAUUUUGUUUUGCAGGUCUGCGUGGGAAUUCAACAGUGCUGUAAUGUGCAGUGAAAACAUUACUUCAGGCAAAUUUCUAAGAGUUACAAAGGGACAACAAUUUAUGGUAAAAUGAAAAUGAGCAUAUAUAGACAAUAUACAGUAUGCUAUAUAGUUAUAAUAAUAUAACUUUUCAUGUUUAUCUUAAUGUUUAAUAUAACUAAGUUUUGAAGUGACUUGAACUUGAAAUCAGGGAAUGCAAGACCAAUUCCUUUGAUAAUGGUAUAUUUUGAAUAUGUAGCAAGGUUCAACAUUAUACUAAUUGACAAGAUUUAACUUUGGUGAACAUGUGUGAUGUGUUUAACUAUUAAGUGAAUAUAUUAUUUUUAAACCA